GUUUCAGCCGCCGCGGUAAAACGUAGGACGCGAGCGUUAUCCGGAGUUACUGGGCGUAAAGCGCGGGCAGGCGGCCUGCCAAGUCUGAUGUGAAAUCACCCGGCUUAACCGGGCGAGGCCAUUGGAAACUGAUAGGCUGGAGGGCAGUAGAGGUAGGCGGAAUUCCGGGUGGAGUGGUGAAAUGCGUAGAGAUCCGGAGGAACACCAGAGGCGAAGGCGGCCUACUGGGCUGCACCUGACGCUGAGCCGCGAAAGCCAGGGGAGCGAACGGGAUUAGAAACCCUCGUAGUCC
rnacentral:rRNA from 1 species